rnacentral:lncRNA from 1 species
AGACAUGUAGUUUUGGACAUGUAGUUCGAAUACUUGAAAGUAUAAAGUCAAUGGAUGGCAUCGAGAAUACCCCUAUGGAGAUAUUGAAGAGUCAUCCACUACAUUAUAUGAAGAUGUUCAUAUCUAUCAAGAAUGAUAAUUUCAAGGUGCGGAAUAUUUAUUCAAGUCAAUAUGGUUGAUUUAUUUAUCAAAGAUCUAUCAAAGAUCAUUUUGAAGAUGGUGCACAAGAUUGGAAUGUAAAUGCUCAAGGAUGUGAAUUGAUGCUCUAUUCAGG